rnacentral:rRNA from 1 species
CUGAAAAGGAUGGCUUUUCAUUAGUGUAAAGAGCUUUUGGAAUAAGGGCUGGGCAAGACCGGUGCCAGCCGCCGCGGUAACACCGGCAGCUCUAGUGGUAGCAGUUUUUAUUGGGCCUAAAGCGUCCGUAGCCGGUUUAAUAAGUCUCUGGUGAAAUCCUGUAGCUUAACUGUGGGAAUUGCUGGAGAUACUAUUAGACUUGAGACCGGGAGAGGUUAGAGGUACUCCCAGGGUAGAGGUGAAAUUCUGUAAUCCUGGGAGGACCGCCUGUUGCGAAGGCGUCUAACUGGAACGGUUCUGACGGUGAGGGACGAAAGUUAGGGGCGCGAACCGGAUUAGAUACCCGGGUAGUCCUAACUGUAAACGAUGCGGACUUGGUGUUGGGGUGGCUUUGAGCUGCUCCAGUGCCGAAGGGAAGCUGUUAAGUCCGCCGCCUGGGAAGUACGGUCGCAAGACUGAAACUUAA